rnacentral:piRNA from 1 species
UAAGUGAUGAUAAAUGGCCAUGAAUGC